UACGUAGGUGGCAAGCGUUGUCCGGAAUUACUGGGUGUAAAGCGCGCGUAGGCGGUUCUUUAAGUCUGGGGUGAAAGGUUCAGCGCUCAACGCGAACAGUGCCCUGGAGACUGGGGGACUUGAGUGUGGCAGGGGGGACCGGAAUUCCUGGUGUAGCGGUGAAAUGCGUAGAUAUCAGGAGGAACACCGGUGGCGAAGGCGGGUCCCUGGGCUAACACUGACGCUGAGGCGCGAAAGCGUGGGGAGCGAACGGG
rnacentral:rRNA from 1 species